GAUGAACGCUAGCGGCAGGCCUAACACAUGCAAGUCGAGGGGCAGCACAUAAAGUGGUUUACUACUUUUGGUGGCGACCGGCGGACGGGUGCGUAACGCGUAUGCAACCUGCCUCCAACAGGGGGAUAACGGAGAGAAAUUUCCACUAAUACCCCAUAAUAUCAGAAUCGGCAUCGGUUUUGGCUGAAAACUCCGGUGGUUGGAGAUGGGCAUGCGUUGUAUUAGAUAGUUGGUGAGGUAACGGCUCACCAAGUCAACGAUACAUAGGGGGACUGAGAGGUUAGCCCCCCACACUGGUACUGGGACACGGACCAGACUCCUACGGGAGGCAGCAGUGAGGAAUAUUGGUCAAUGGGGGCAACCCUGAACCAGCCAUGCCGCGUGCAGGAAGACGGCUCUAUGAGUUGUAAACUGCUUUUACAAGGGGAUAAAUCGGUGUACGUGUACACCGUUGAAGGUACCUUGGGAAUAAGGAUCGGCUAACUCCGUGCCAGCAGCCGCAGUAA
rnacentral:rRNA from 1 species